AGAGUUUGAUCAUGGCUCAGGAUGAACGCUAGCGGCAGGCCUAAUACAUGCAAGUCGAACGGGAUCCACCAGCUUGCUGGUGGUGAGAGUGGCGCACGGGUGCGUAACGCGUGAGCAACCUGCCCGUCCCAGGGGGAUAGCCCCUCGAAAGAGGGAUUAACACCGCAUAAAGUUAUAUACCGGCAUCGGUUGUAUAACCAAAUAUUUAUAGGGGACGGAUGGGCUCGCGUGGCAUUAGCUAGUUGGUAGGGUAACGGCUUACCAAGGCUAUGAUGCCUAGGGGCUCUGAGAGGAGAAUCCCCCACACUGGUACUGAGACACGGACCAGACUCCUACGGGAGGCAGCAGUAAGGAAUAUUGGUCAAUGGGCGGGAGCCUGAACCAGCCAUGCCGCGUGCAGGAGGACUGCCCUAUGGGUUGUAAACUGCUUUUGCACGGGAACAAACACCGGCACGCGUGCCGGCUUGAGUGUACCGUGAGAAUAAGGAUCGGCUAACUCCGUGCCAGCAGCCGCGGUAAUACGGAGGAUCCGAGCGUUAUCCGGAUUUAUUGGGUUUAAAGGGUGCGUAGGCGGCAUGCUAAGUCAGUGGUGAAAGACGGUGGCUCAACCAUCGCAGUGCCGUUGAUACUGGUGUGCUUGAAUGCGGAUGAGGUAGGCGGAAUGUGGCAAGUAGCGGUGAAAUGCAUAGAUAUGCCACAGAACACCGAUUGCGAAGGCAGCUUACCAAGGCGAUAUUGACGCUGAUGCACGAAAGCGUGGGGAUCGAACAGGAUUAGAUACCCUGGUAGUCCACGCCCUA
rnacentral:rRNA from 1 species